rnacentral:rRNA from 1 species
GACGAACCGUGCGAACGUUGUUCGGAAUCACUGGGCAUAAAGGGCGCGUAGGCGGCUUAUCAAGUCAGGGGUGAAAUCCGGCAGCUCAACUGUCGAAGUGCCUUUGAUACUGAUGAGCCUCGGAGGGAGGGUAGGGUAUGCGGAACUUCCCGGUGGAGCGGUGAAAUGCGUUGAUAUCGGAAGGAACGCCGGUGGCGAAAGCGGCGUACUGGACCCUCGUUCUGACGCUGAGGCGCGAAAGCUGAGGGGAGCAAACGGGGAU